UACCAGCACCCCGAGUGGUCGGGACGUUUAUUGGGCCUAAAGCAUCCGUAGCCGGUUCUACAAGUCUUCCGUUAAAUCCAACUGCUUAACAGGUGGGCUGCGGAAGAUACUAUAGAGCUAGGAGGCGGGAGAGGCAAGCGGUACUCGAUGGGUAGGGGUAAAAUCCGUUGAUCCAUUGAAGACCACCAGUGGCGAAGGCGGCUUGCCAGAACGCGCUCGACGGUGAGGGAUGAAAGCUGGGGGAGCAAAGCAGG
rnacentral:rRNA from 1 species